rnacentral:rRNA from 1 species
GAAAGAUUUAUCGGUACAGGAUGGGGAUGCGUUCCAUUAGUCCAGCCGGCGGGGUAACGGCCCACCGGGGCGACGAUGGAUAGGGGUUCUGAGAGGAAGGUCCCCCACACUGGAACUGAGACACGGUCCAGACUCCUACGGGAGGCAGCAGUGAGGAAUAUUGGUCAAUGGCCGCAAGGCUGAACCAGCCAAGUAGCGUGCGGGAGGACGGCCCUAUGGGUUGUAAACCGCUUUUAUACGGGGGGUAAAAACGCGCCACGUGUGGUGUCUUGCAAGUACCGUAAGAAAAAGGACCGGCUAAUUCCGUGCC